rnacentral:tRNA from 2 species
GGCUCGGUAGCUCAGUUGGUAGAGCAAUGGACUGAAAAUCCAUGUGUCGCCGGUUCGAUCCCGGCCUGAGCCACCA